GAUGAACGCUGGCGGCGUGCCUAAUACAUGCAAGUCGAGCGAACAGACGAGGAGCUUGCUCCUCUGACGUUAGCGGCGGACGGGUGAGUAACACGUGGAUAACCUACCUAUAAGACUGGGAUAACUUCGGGAAACCGGAGCUAAUACCGGAUAAUAUAUUGAACCGCAUGGUUCAAUAGUGAAGGACGGUUUUGCUGUCACUUAUAGAUGGAUCCGCGCCGCAUUAGCUAGUUGGUAAGGUAACGGCUUACCAAGGCAACGAUGCGUAGCCGACCUGAGAGGGUGAUCGGCCACACUGGAACUGAGACACGGUCCAGACUCCUACGGGAGGCAGCAGUAGGGAAUCUUCCGCAAUGGGCGAAAGCCUGACGGAGCAACGCCGCGUGAGUGAUGAAGGUCUUCGGAUCGUAAAACUCUGUUAUUAGGGAAGAACAAAUGUGUAAGUAACUAUGCACGUCUUGACGGUACCUAAGCAGAAAGCCACGGCUAACUACGU
rnacentral:rRNA from 1 species